AGAUCACCAUGAUGACUUGUAAACAACUCACUAUGCUUUAAUAUUGGAUUAUCUAUAUUUUUAAUACAGUGAUGAAAGGUUUCUAGGUAGAAUCAAAUACUUAUGAAGUCUAUGUAUGAGUUAAGAUGGGAUUGACCUACUCCUGAUUUAAGGAGAUAAUGCUAUGUUAUGUUUCAAUUCAAUAAAACUUUGGCCAGGAUAAUCUUUGUGAUC
rnacentral:lncRNA from 1 species